rnacentral:rRNA from 1 species
CAGUAGCGUAUAUUAAAGUUGUUGCAGUUAAAAUGCUCGUAGUUGAAGUUCGGAUGCAGCAGAGCUUGGAAACGCUGUUAUGGUGCUUCCGUUGCUUUUGCUUGUCCACAGUGCGGUGCAAGUACGUAUGUGCUUGUGCGUGCAUUUUACUUUGAGAAACAUAGGGUGUUCCACGCAUGUUACGGCAUGAAUAUUCCAGCAUGGGAUAAUCUGGUACGACUUCCAAUCUGCCAUUUUGGUUCGUAGGUUGGAAGUAAUGAUUAAUAGGGACUGUCGGGGGCAUUGGUAUUUGACUGUCAGAGGUGAAAUUCUUAGAUUCGUUGAGGACCAACCACUGCGAAAGCAUUUGUCAAGGAUGUCUCCAUUAA